rnacentral:rRNA from 1 species
AACAGUUGGAAACGACUGCUAAUACCGCAUAAGCCCACGGCUCGGCAUCGAGCAGAGGGAAAAGGAGCAAUCCGCUUUGAGAUGGCCUCGCGUCCGAUUAGCUAGUUGGUGAGGUAACGGCCCACCAAGGCGACGAUCGGUAGCCGGACUGAGAGGUUGAACGGCCACAUUGGGACUGAGACACGGCCCAGACUCCUACGGGAGGCAGCAGUGGGGAAUAUUGCACAAUGGGGGAAACCCUGAUGCAGCGACGCCGCGUGGAGGAAGAAGGUCUUCGGAUUGUAAACUCCUGUUGUUGAGGAAGAUAAUGACGGUACUCAACAAGGAAGUGACGGCUAACUACGUGCCAGCAGCCGCGGUAAAACGUAGGUCACAAGCGUUGUCCGGAAUUACUGGGUGUAAAGGGAGCGCAGGCGGGAGAACAAGUUGGAAGUGAAAUCCAUGGGCUCAACCCAUGAACUGCUUUCAAAACUGUUUUUCUUGAGUAGUGCAGAGGUAGGCGGAAUUCCCGGUGUAGCGGUGGAAUGCGUAGAUAUCGGGAGGAACACCAGUGGCGAAGGCGGCCUACUGGGCACCAACUGACGCUGAGGCUCGAAAGUGUGGGUAGCAAACAGGAUUAGAUACCCUGGUAGUCCACACCGUAAACGAUGAUUACUAGGUGUUGGAGGAUUGACCCCUUCAGUGCCGCAGUUAACACAAUAAGUAAUCCACCUGGGGAGUACGACCGCAAGGUUGAAACUCAAAGGAAUUGACGGGGGCCCGCACAAGCAGUGGAGUAUGUGGUUUAAUUCGACGCAACGCGAAGAACCUUACCAAGUCUUGACAUCCCUUGACGAUGCUGGAAACAGUAUUUCUCUUCGGAGCAAGGAGACAGGUGGUGCAUGGUUGUCGUCAGCUCGUGUCGUGAGAUGUUGGGUUAAGUCCCGCAACGAGCGCAACCCUUAUGGUCAGUUACUACGCAAGAGGACUCUGGCCAGACUGCCGUUGACAAAACGGAGGAAGGUGGGGAUGACGUCAAAUCAUCAUGCCCUUUAUGACUUGGGCUACACACGUACUACAAUGGCGUUAAACAAAGAGAAGCAAGACCGCGAGGUGGAGCAAAACUCAGAAACAACGUCCCAGUUCGGACUGCAGGCUGCAACUCGCCUGCACGAAGUCGGAAUUGCUAGUAAUCGUGGAUCAGCAUGCCACGGUGAAUACGUUCCCGGGCCUUGUACACACCGCCCGUCACACCAUGAGAGCCGGGGGGACCCGAAGUCGGUAGUCUAACCG